GACGAACGCUGGCGGCGUGCUUAACACAUGCAAGUCGAACGGAAAGGCCCUGCUUUUGUGGGGUGCUCGAGUGGCGAACGGGUGAGUAACACGUGAGUAACCUGCCCCUGACUUUGGGAUAACUUCAGGAAACUGGGGCUAAUACCGGAUAGGAGCUCCUGCUGCAUGGUGGGGGUGGGAAAGUUUCGGCGGUUGGGGAUGGACUCGCGGCUUAUCAGCUUGUUGGUGGGGUAGUGGCUUACCAAGGCUUUGACGGGUAGCCGGCCUGAGAGGGUGACCGGCCACAUUGGGACUGAGAUACGGCCCAGACUCCUACGGGAGGCAGCAGUGGGGAAUAGUGCACAAUGGGCGGAAGCCUGAUGCAGCAACGCCGCGUGCGGGAUGACGGCCUUCGGGUUGUAAACCGCUUUCGCCUGUGACGAAGCGUGAGUGACGGUAAUGGGUAAAGAAGCACCGGCUAACUACGUG
rnacentral:rRNA from 1 species